GUGGGGAAUUUUGGACAAUGGGCGAAAGCCUGAUCCAGCAAUGCCGCGUGAGUGAAGAAGGCCUUCGGGUUGUAAAGCUCUUUUGUCAGGGAAGAAACGGUGAGGGCUAAUAUCCUUCGCUAAUGACGGUACCUGAAGAAUAAGCACCGGCUAACUACGUGCCAGCAGCCGCGGUAAUACGUAGGGUGCAAGCGUUAAUCGGAAUUACUGGGCGUAAAGCGUGCGCAGGCGGUUUUGUAAGUCUGACGUGAAAUCCCCGGGCUCAACCUGGGAAUUGCGUUGGAGACUGCAAGGCUAGAAUCUGGCAGAGGGGGGUAGAAUUCCACGUGUAGCAGUGAAAUGCGUAGAGAUGUGGAGGAACACCGAUGGCGAAGGCAGCCCCCUGGGUCAAGAUUGACGCUCAUGCACGAAAGCGUGGGGAGCAAACAGGAUUAGAUACCCCAGUAGUCC
rnacentral:rRNA from 1 species